AGUUUUGCAAUGCGGACGUGCGGUAGUUUUUAGUUUCCUGUUGAAAUUCUACCCUUUCCUGGUUUAAUUUUCCGACUUAGUGUGUAGUUCGAGGGAGUCUCAGUCCCUGAAAAAACAGAAGAGUGCAAAUAAUCAAUUUUUACUGAAGUAAUGGUGCUGGUUUAGAUUGUGAGCAGCUCGUCCCGGAACGGUUGGUGUGCCCUACAGGAAGCAGGAAGAAAAGAAACAGGAACUUCGGAACGGGCACGGAGACGGGUCGAUAGCGAGUUUAACAAAACGAAUCCCCGACCGAAAAGCCAGCUGCUAACGUGCGUGAAUCUGCGUCAGUGUGUUUUGCGUGAUCGGUGUGAAGAUAGUGACUGAAAAGAGCGAUAGAGAAGAAAAAACCGUGCCGAGGGAAAACCGUCCCUUUUUUCCACACCACACCACCCUUGCGGUAGCGUGCUUAUGAAACAAAAGUUAUGUGAAAAAAAAACGGGGGAAAAUUUGUCGAAUCGCAAGGAAAAGUUGGUGGAAUUUAAACGUAAAAAAGCGAGAGUGUUCGAAUCGAAAGAGUUAACGUGUUGAAGUGUGAAUAAAGCGGAAGUUUGUUCUGCUAAAAUCAAACCCGCCCAACCCUCCCCCCCCCCACGGAAAAAGUGCCAAGUGGAAAAAAUUAAAGGAGAAAAAAAUUGUGUAGUAAAACGGUGCACGAAUAGGAAAAAAAAGUUGUUACAAAAAAUAGAAAUACUGAAGGUAAACCCAACGAAGAAGUGAAGCUGCUGGUUUUCCCCACCAUACGAGUUCGAAGUGUGUGGUUUAUUUUUUUUUGUUUCAUUGAUUUCAUCGCUGGCCUUAGGUGUGCCCUUCGUUUCGGUUCAGCGUCCCCUUUGUCUCCCGCCGGUGUCGAUUGAUUUAGCGUUAUAAUCCUGCUCGACGUCAAUCACAGCUUCACUUGUUCGCGGUACGGAACGAAUCGCAGAUUGUGCUAGCGAAAAGUUCUUCGGGAAAACUCACCGUCAUCGCUGUGGGUACGAGGAAACGUGCCUACGAGGAGAUAGAUUUAAAGGUCACUGUAGCGUUUGGGAAAUUUUGUAAAGUGCCAGUUCAAACGCGGUGUGAGUGUGCAAUGUUGAAUGUGUGCCGAAAUAAUGGCAAACGUAUAAUCCCUCAGUGACGAGGCGAGGGUGAAAGAGUAAAAGCGGCGUGCGCAGUGUCCUGUUUCCCUUAGCUCUUCCUGCGGCGCGAGUCUUUUAGCGCGUCGUUAAGCCUAACACUUCGUUUUCCCGACCCCUUUUUCCCCUGUUGGUCCCCUGGUGCGUACAUCGGAGCGGAGGAAAAAUCCAGCGUUUAUGACCGCGACAAGUGUCCGCGACUUAGUGAGCAACUUUCCAUCGCCAGCCCGCCGCAACCGGUGCUGCUGCCUUCCGCCGUGCCGCCCGGCCACCAGCUAGGACCUCCUCGGCACGCACAAAAUGGCGAUCCUCACCGCAGCGACGCCAGCGCGGCCCGCGCCCCUUCCCAGCG